rnacentral:rRNA from 1 species
GGAUGACGCUGGCGGCAGGCCUAACACAUGCCUGUCGAGCGGUAGAGAGAAGCUUGCUUCUCUUGAGAGCGGCGGACGGGUGAGUAAUGCCUAGGAAUCUGCCUGGUAGUGGGGGAUAACGUUCGGAAACGAACGCUAAUACCGCAUACGUCCUACGGGAGAAAGCAGGGGACCUUCGGGCCUUGCGCUAUCAGAUGAGCCUAGGUCGGAUUAGCUAGUUGGUGAGGUAAUGGCUCACCAAGGCGACGAUCCGUAACUGGUCUGAGAGGAUGAUCAGUCACACUGGAACUGAGACACGGUCCAGACUCCUACGGGAGGCAGCAGUGGGGAAUAUUGGACAAUGGGCGAAAGCCUGAUCCAGCCAUGCCGCGUGUGUGAAGAAGGUCUUCGGAUUGUAAAGCACUUUAGUUGGGAGGAAGGCAGGUACUUAAUCCAUAAUUGUUUUGACCUUACCGACAAAAUAA